UGGUGCUGAGAUCGUUGGCACUUUCGUUCUUGUUUACACUGUUUUCUCUGCUACUGAUGCUAAGCGUAGUGCUAGGGAUUCACAUGUCCCUCUUUUGGCACCAUUGCCUAUUGGAUUUGCUGUGUUCCUGGUACACUUGGCCACAAUUCCAAUCACUGGAACUGGUAUUAACCCAGCUAGGAGUCUUGGCGCAGCCAUCAUCUACAACCAAGACCACGCAUGGGAUGACCACUGGAUAUUCUGGGUUGGACCAUUUAUUGGAGCAGCACUAGCAGCUCUAUACCACCAGGUGGUGAUCAGGGCAAUCCCAUUUAAGCCCAAGUAAAAUCUCUUUUAACCACAGAUUUCUCAAGCUUAAUCGUCAUCUGGCAAAAGAUCAAAAGCCUCAUUUCUGCCCAUUUCCCCUUUGCAUUAGAUCCUCUUUUCUUUUUGUUUUGUUUUUUGUAUCUAUGUAUUUGUAAGUUUCGUAAGUGGGAGAAUGUAUCUGAUGGGGGCAUAUUUUCUAUAAAAGGACCUUCGCUUUUCAUUUCA